rnacentral:tRNA from 1 species
GCCCAAAUGGCGGAAUUGGUAGACGCGCUAGUUUCAGGUACUAGUGAGAUCACUCUCUUGGAAGUUCGAGUCUUCUUUUGGGCACCA